GACUUUUAAUUUUCAGACAGGAGGCUUGGAAUUGGUCCACAAGGCAAUGAGGAGCCAUUGGAGGGAGGAGUGAAAUGAUGAAAGAGGUGUUUUGAGAAGGUUAAUCUGGCAACAGUGUCCGGGAGGGAAGGGAGUAGGAGACGUAUGGCAGGCGGGGAUGUCAGUUAAGGAGGCUGCCACAGUAGUCCAGGCUCGAGAUGAUAAAGACCUGAACUGGGGUCAUGGCAGUGUGCCACGUUAACUUGAAAAAUGACACUAAGGCCAAAAAAUAUUGUCUUAUAUUUUCAAGUUUUAUAUGCUAACCCACUGAAAUGAACAAUUCUAUGCAAGCUCUGAUAUACGCCACCGUGAAAGACAUUUUGGAUGCAAAAAAUGGAGGAAGACUGGUAAAGCCUGCGGGAAGCCUAGGCCAUGACCCUGAGUCCAGCCAGUCAAGGUCUCUUUCAGGAUCUCCUUCUGAGGAACAUACAUACCUCCGUCCAGUCAGAGAGGAGCCACUCGCUGGGACAGUCAUCUUUCUUGCAGGCUUGCUGGGAGGCCAGUUUCAAGGCUGAACAGAAGGUCUCAGGAAGCUCCAGGAAGCUGCCGUCAGCCAUGCGCUGUUUGCAAAGAACUUCACGCUUCUGGAUGCCCCCUCCGCAGGUCCUGGAACACUGGGGAAGGAAGAGAAAGUCAUUUUAACCUAGGACAGUGGUAUGUUUGCCUGCCAAUCCUUAUCUUAGUCUUGGCUGAGUAAAGAGUGGAAAAAACAACAGAAGAAGAAGAAAAACCAAGAACCGGCCCAAAGGAUUUUGCUCCCUUUCCCUGAAAUGAAUUUUGCAGCAAGAUCUACACCCUCCAAUCUUAAUUUCAAGUAUUUAACUAGAGCAUCCAGGAAUUUCAAGGGCCUUUAAAUCAUAGAAAGUUGUUCCUCAACUACGAUUUGCAGCCCCCCAAGACAACUGGUUUAAAAGGAAGAAGAGUGUACACAUGAAGUCAGUGGUAGCCCAGUGUUCAAAGGGCAAGGAGAAGGAGUUACUCCCCUCAAAAGCCAAUGUUCAUCACGUUACUAUGUCGUCUUUCAAUGAAGCAUUUGACACCGCAUCUGCUUUUCUUUCAUCUGAAGAAAGACUUAAGGGUACCAGGCAGGGGGGCAGUUGAAGCGGUUACAAGCUUGCACCGUGCUGGGCUUGGGCUGACGGCACAGUUCAUCGGCCAGGAUUAUGGUUUCAUUCAUCUCUCUGGAAAGGAGGUGGGAGCAGAAGACAUCUCUGGUCUGCAGGCCAACCCCACAGGUGACAUGACGGGAUGGUAGAUUCGAUCCCAGAUUCAUGCAAUGACUAAAUCUACGCACGCAAAACAGUUUCUAAUACCAUCAAAGCUCAUUUCACGGAAGUUGGAGGUUGACAGGUGAUGUGUAACCAUGGAAAGGGCUCUCUUCAUAAAUGGAGAUUGAAGCCCUGAGGCGAACAGCCAUGUGACGUUUAUCCUUGUUGAUGUCAAAAUGCUGCUGGGAAUGAUUCUGAUCACUGGGCCAACACAUUCCUGGGAAGAGAAGUAACCGAGGCUGCCAUUGGGCCAAUCAGGUCCAAUAGUUAAGAAACAGGUCUUGGCAGGUUCCUCCGUUGUAACUUGUCCAACAGUGGAAGAAAAGAGAGAGAUGGUGUAAUUAUGCAUCUGGAGUUACCAAGGAGGAUGACGACAGUAAUAGCAUUAACUCUCCAAAGGUGCCUGAAUAUGGCCUCCAAAUCUGGACUCAAUUUCUGUGGAGCUUUGGUGUGCUUUUGCUUUAAGUGCUUACAAGUUGGUAUGGACAGAGCCAAAAGGCAGCAUAUGGAAACUUUGGGAACACAGCAGAAGAUAAACCAAUAUUUGGAGAGCAUGUUGAAACAGUAACCCUUAAAACAAGCUGUCAAAGGGGAAGGUGCCUGCAAAACUUUGAAAGCUCCAUCAAAUAAAUUAAAGCAUGGUUGUGUAAAAAGGCAAUACCUUCUGCUCUAGCCAUUUUCGGCCAAUAUAAAAGAAAAUUAGAAAUUGGAAAUCAUUUGCGGCUAGUACGCAUGGAUUUUGUUAGUGUAUAAUAAAAUAGGCAUUCUGAAGUUUGCUUUUAAAGAGGAGGCUCUGUGACCUUUAAGACGUUUUUCUUAACUCUCUCGUCUCAAACAGGGAUUCUCAAACUUCUUUUACAGUUCUUGUUGGUUUGAGGAGCCACCCUAGGUCUGAGAAAAGAGACUGGGGUUGGGGCGAGGGGCAGAAACCAAGUCCUGUUCCUGGAAUUAUGGGCUUUCCCCCCCUUUACUGUUUAUCUAUUCUGUACCACUCAGCUGUUCUCUGUUGCACAGAAAUAAAAGUUUAGUUUAAAAAGUAUGUUAGAACAAAGCUGCAGAAAUUGCCUGGAAUUUCCUUCAUUUUCAGCCAUCUGGCUUUCAUUGCUUACUUCUUUCCCCUCCUCCACAUACGUUUACCAAAUCUUUUCAACACACACUGGCCAAGCUAUCAAAUGCUUAUAAUUAAUAACAGUCAUGCUCUUUUUUUUUUUUUUUAAAAGGUAGUGCUUUCUGGCUUUCCUUGGGCUGUUCAUGUCAUUGCUAGUAUAAACCAGGGAGAUGGUCAGUAAAACUUAAUUAUUAAGACUUAGUUGAAUAAGUGAGAAAAUCUAAUCAAAUUUAAGUCCUGAAUACAAAAAAAUGAUGUUUUAUUUCAAACUAAAAGUAUUUCUUGCCAAGAAAUGAAAGAGAAGAAAAAGAGAAUUUUUCUGAGUUCCCACUAUGAUCCUAUUUUAGAGAUGAAGAAUCUGAGGAUCCAAAAAGGUAUAUAAGCUCUUACAAGUCAUGUAGCUAAACCUAACAGAGCAGUAUCUGAACACAGGUUGGAAUCUAUCUGCUGGUUUUUAUUUUGGUGGU